rnacentral:rRNA from 1 species
GAUGCAACGCGAAAAACCUUACCCACCUUUGACAUGUACGGAAGUCGCUAGAGAUAGCUUCGUGCUCGAAAGAGAGCCGUAACACAGGUGCUGCAUGGCUGUCGUCAGCUCGUGUCGUGAGAUGUUGGGUUAAGUCCCGCAACGAGCGCAACCCUUGUCAUUAGUUGCUACAUUCAGUUGGGCACUCUAAUGAGACUGCCGGUGACAAACCGGAGGAAGGUGGGGAUGACGUCAAGUCCUCAUGGCCCUUAUAGGUGGGGCUACACACGUCAUACAAUGGCUGGUACAGAGGGUUGCCAACCCGCGAGGGGGAGCUAAUCCCAUAAAGCCAGUCGUAGUCCGGAUCGCAGUCUGCAACUCGACUGCGUGAAGUCGGAAUCGCUAGUAAUCGCGGAUCAGAAUGUCGCGGUGAAUACGUUCCCGGGUCUUGUACACACCGCCCGUCACACCAUGGGAGCGGGUUCUGCCAGAAGUAGUUAGCCUAACCGCAAGGAGGGCGAUUACCACGGCAGGGUUCGUGACUGGGGUGAAGUCGUAACAAGGUAACCGU